rnacentral:rRNA from 1 species
AGAGUUUGAUCCUGGCUCAGGACGAACGCCUGGCGGCGUGCCUAAUACAUGCAAGUAGAACGCUGAAGACUUUAGCUUGCUAGAGUUGGAAGAGUUGCGAACGGGUGAGUAACGCGUAGGUAACCUGCCUACUAGCGGGGGAUAACUAUUGGAAACGAUAGCUAAUACCGCAUAACAGUGUUUAACACAUGUUAGAUGCUUGAAAGAUGCAAUUGCAUCACUAGUAGAUGGACCUGCGUUGUAUUAGCUAGUUGGUGGGGUAACGGCCUACCAAGGCGACGAUACAUAGCCGACCUGAGAGGGUGAUCGGCCACACUGGGACUGAGACACGGCCCAUACUCCUACGGGAGGCAGCAGUAGUGGAAUCUUUCGGCAAUGGGGGCAACCCUGACCCCGAGCAACGCCGCGUGAGUUAAGAAGGUUUUUCGGUAUCCGUAUAAGCUCUGUUGUAAGAGAAAGAACGUGUGUGAAGAGUGGAAAGUUCACACCAUUGACGGGUAACUUACCAGAAAAGGGACGGCUAAUUACGUGCCCAGCAGCCGCGGUAAU